rnacentral:lncRNA from 1 species
UUGUCUUCCACAAGGCCACACUGUAUGAGGGCAAUUUUCCCACACGCAGCCUAUGAGGUGUGGAUGGCGUAAGCCACAGAUCAGGAAGAAGCAAGAUUAGACCACCAGAAUAACGAUGACCUUGGUGAUAACGAUGUUUAGGAAAAUUCUCACUUACAUGGGACCUGAGACAAUUUUAGAGCUCUUGAGGACAUCGUCAAACCUUGAGUUCAAGCCACAUGUAUGGACUUGUCAGUGUUCCCACUGUGUUGCCACCUCUGGUCUAUAGUUCCUGAGGGCAGCAGAGGAGCCUCACUACAUAUCAGGCAGUCCCCCAGCAGGCUGCAACCAUUUCCUGAAAUGACUUAAGGACUUCUCAGAUUAUUGUUCUGCAAGGCUAUGGGCUCUUCCCAUUGGUGUCCGUUCUUGCCUUUUAUUGAAAGGGUGAUACUGUGCUUUUCCAGGUUACUCUUAAACCACACUUCAGGAGUGAUGAUCGUUCCUUGCAUGGAUGGUACUACUCUUCUUGUUCUACCCAUGGCUCCUUGAAUGGCAAUAUGCAGAAGGAAGUAGUUGCAUUCAUCACUGAAAGAGACCACAUUCUGGUAAUGAAAUGAUUACAAUCUUACAGUUCCAGAGAAGUUGCAAUUGGAAGAUGUGCUAUUCUACACCUACACAUUCCAAAAGCUAAAUUUAACAUGACCAGAAAACAAAAUAUCACACACAUUUUGCUGCAUGCUCUGGGCAAGUGUUGAAAUUGUGAUCAUUAUCAAAGAAACACACUAACAACUGUAAAAGGAGUUGUUGGAAGCCAGUAUUCAUGGGAGGGACAGAUGAUAGAUGAUGCAGCCUCAUAAUUAAUGAUGUAACCAGGUUUAAAUACAUGAUAUUGGAGAACUGCAGAGGGAAGAUCUAUAUUAUUUUAAUACAAACAUUUUCCCAAAAGCCAUUGCAUUGCAUCAGUACUGCUACAUUUUCCAUGUGGUAAGAGACAGGAAGUUAGCUAUGCAUGUACAAUUAAUGAUAAUGAACAUGAAAAGAUGGUUCCUGGAACUGAAGAGAAAGAGAUGGUGCCUGAACAAUAUGAAGAAUCUUCUCAUUCACUGAUCAAAUAAUCAAGCAAUAUUUAAGAGCAUUUUUUCUAACCAUUACUCUAAGUUUUUGUUGAUAAGCUACAAUAUACUAUACCACACAUGAACCCAUGAAUUUUAUAAUUCCAUUUUAGUUAA